CCAGUGGCUAACACGUAAUUACAGUCUCAAGCUUGCUUUGAGAAAAGUGCUGGGCUUUCUUUGUGUCUGGUCUUCUCAACAGCUGUGUCAUCAGGCUGGCUGCCUACUCACCGUUUCAAACACUUCAAGAAAAUAAAAUGGAUAUCUAGUAAAAGAAAAGAAACAUGUUUCCAUGCCCUUGGAAGGAGGAGGAAUGGUCUCCAUUUUGCUCUUCAAGAAGAAAAUACUUACGAAGCCAACACAGAUGUGGGACCCACUCACACCAGUUCUGUUGUGCGUGUCCCUCUAGCUGGUGCAAGUUUCGUGCACAUGAAGUAUAUGUCCUGGGAAGACACUGGGACCCUUACUCUUCAAUGAGUGUUUUCACCAACACUGACCAGGUGCUGAUGGGAGAUAGUUUACCUUCAAAUUUUUUCAAGUUUUUUACUUUACAACAAAUAAAAAGAAAGAAUCUCUUUCUGCCCCUCAUGCUAAAGAGACUGCUCUGCAAAAAAAGAUCCCUGUUGUUUUCUAAGGAGAGACCGAAAGGAUGUGGAUUCUGACAGGAGAGAAAAGAGAAGAGAAAUGAGAAAAGGGGACAGGGAACAGGAGGAAGAAGAGGUGUUUCAUAAGAAGGAAGAAAGCAGGAGGUGGGAAGAACAAAGUCCCAUAUGGAGUUUUCCUACAGACGAUGAAGCCGGAUUGAGAGAAGACAGUGGUUUCUACCACGAAGAACAAAUGUGUGUGGGUUUGCAAAAGUAAAUACGAUCAGGUUUUGACACAUGACCUUGUCUUCUCAUAACAGUUGAAAAAAGAUUCGGGGAUUUUCUUACCCUUUAAAAAUAUUUACAAAUGCCAGUGGCUCGUGGAAGAGCAGUUAUUAAAUUGAUUUUGUAAACAUGAAACAAAGAAUAAAGCUUCCAUCC
ensembl:lincRNA 1700010H22Rik RIKEN cDNA 1700010H22 gene